rnacentral:rRNA from 1 species
UACGUAGGGGGCUAGCGUUGUCCGGAAUCAUUGGGCGUAAAGAGCGCGUAGGCGGCGCGGUAAGUCGGGUGUGAAAUCUCGGAGCUUAACUCCGAAACUGCAUUCGAUACUGCCGUGCUUGAGGACUGGAGAGGAGACUGGAAUUUACGGUGUAGCGGUGAAAUGCGUAGAUAUGUGGAGGAACACCGAUGGCGAAGGCAGCCCCCUGGGUCAAGAUUGACGCUCAUGCACGAAAGCGUGGGGAGCAAACAGG